rnacentral:rRNA from 1 species
CCUACGGGAGGCAGCAGUGAGGAAUAUUGGUCAAUGGACGAGAGCCUGAACCAGCCAAGUCGCGUGAAGGAUGACUGCCCUAUGGGUUGUAAACUUCUUUUAUAUGGGAGUACAGUUCAUCAUGUAUACUGUUUUGUAUGUACCAUACGAACAAGGAUCGGAUCACUCCGCGCCAGCAGCCGCGGUAAUACGGAGGGUGCGAGCGUUAUCCGGAUUUGUUGGGUUUAAAGGGAGCGGAGGCGGGGUGUUAAGUCAGUUGUGAAAGUUUGCGGCUCAACCGUAAACUUGCAGUUGAUACUGGCAACCUUGAGUGCAGUAGAGGUAGGCGGAAUUCGUGGUGUAGCGGUGAAAUGCGUAGAUAUCACGAAGAACUCCGAUUGCGAAGGCAGCCAGCUGGACUGUAACUGACGCUGAUGCGCGAAAGCGUGGGUAUCAAACAGGAUUAGAUACCCGUGUAGUC